CCUACGGGUGGCAGCAGUGGGGAAUAUUGGGCAAUGGGCGCAAGCCUGACCCAGCAACGCCGCGUGAAGGAAGAAGGCCCUCGGGUUGUAAACUUCUUUUGUCAGGGACGAAACAUAUGACGGUACCUGACGAAUAAGCCACGGCUAACUACGUGCCCGCACCCGCGGUAAUACGUAGGUGGCAAGCGUUAUCCGGAUUUACUGGGUGUAAAGGGCGUGUAGGCGGGAGAGCAAGUCAGAUGUGAAAGUCCAGGGCUCAACCCUGGAACUGCGUUUGAAACUGUUUUUCUUGAGUGAGGGGAAGGCAGGCGGAAUUCGGUGUGGAGCGGUGAAAUGCGUAGAUAUACGGAGGAACACCAAUGGCGAAGGCAGCCUGCUGGACAGUAACUGACGCUGAGGCGCGAAGGCGUGGGGAGCGAACAGGAUUAGAUACCCUAGUAGUC
rnacentral:rRNA from 1 species